AAAAAAAAAAAAAAAAAAAACUCGAUGAAUUUUCAAAAAAAAAGUCUCGGUACUGUACGAUAAUUUUUUGGUUAUCUUGCAAGUGCGGGUUGCGUUAUCGCUAUAAAGCGAAUUUUUUUUUUUUUUUU
rnacentral:ribozyme from 14 species